rnacentral:rRNA from 1 species
CCUACGGGGAGCUGCAGUGGGGAAUAUUGGGCAAUGGGCGCAAGCCUGACCCAGCAACGCCACGUGAAGGAAGAAGGCUUUCGGGUUGUAAACUUCUUUUCUCAGGGACGAAGCAAGUGACGGUACCUGAGGAAUAAGCCACGGCUAACUACGUGCCAGCAGCCGCGGUAAUACGUAGGUGGCAAGCGUUAUCCGGAUUUACUGGGUGUAAAGUGCGUGUAGGCGGGACUGCAAGUCAGAUGUGAAAACCACGGGCUCAACCUGUGGCCUGCAUUUGAAACUGUAGUUCUUGAGUACUGGAGAGGCAGACGGAAUUCCUAGUGUAGCGGUGAAAUGCGUAGAUAUUAGGAGGAACACCGGUGGCGAAGGCGGCUUACUGGACCGUAACUGACGUUGAGGCUCGAAAGCGUGGGGAGCAAACAGGAUUAGAUACCCGAGUAGUC